ACGUAUGUGAUAUGUCUACUUCACAAAGCUGAUAGUUCACUUUCCAUUUUUCUAUGGUUUCCAACUUGCCAUUUAUUUAGAAUUAAAACUAAUAGUAAAAAUGGAAGCUAAUUCAAGAAGAUUAAUGGGUUUAGAAAAGAAGAAAGCAAUAGAGGAAGAAUGGAAAACCAUUUACAGCUUCAAACGCCAACUCUCUAGUGCUGACUUCCCUUCCAACUUCAUAUUUGGUGUUGCCACUUCUGCUUAUCAGGUAGAAGGUGGAAGCAAAGAGGGAGGAAAGGGUCCUAGCAUAUGGGAUUCUUUUUCACAUACUCCAGGUAAAUGGCUUUGCUUUUGUUUUUUCUGCUUUUUUUUUUGUGGAUGUUUUGUUGAAAUUGAAGUGGAGCCUGGGGUAACUGGUAAAGUUGAUGCAUUUACCUUCGCCAGAAGCAAAGGGCGAAAACUCCUGAACUAGUAAAUAAAGGGUGCUUGUGUUGUGGUUUUGAGUUCCUUGGCUUGUGUUCUAAUAGUAACCACACGAAGAAAGCGGGGAGCAUGGUCCCUAGUCUCAUUUUUGUCGAGCUUGAUUCUCUAUGGCAUGGACGUUUUGAUUGGAUGGAGACAGAUAUAUAGAAAGUGUGUAGCUGCUGCCCAAAGGUGCUUUAUCAAAGCCGGUCCACAGCAGUGAAAAUACGAUUGAUUCCGUCGAUCGAAUGAAAACCGCUUCUUACUUUUUUGGCUUGACUACUCUGCUUGCUUAACACAAGUCUUAUUUAACCUUCACGGACCACUUCACUACCCAGCAAGAUCCGGCCAUGUGAAGGUCACGGUUUCAAGUCAUGGAAACAGCGUCUUGUAGAAAUGCAGGAUAAGACGGCAUAAAUAGGCCCUUGUGGUUUGGACUUUCCUUGAACUUCAUGCAUAGCGGGAUCAUUACUGCACCGGGCUGCGCUUUUAUGUUCUGUUGAAGUUUUUUGUUUCUUGUUAGACAAAAUAUGUGAUGGAAGCACUGGGGAUAUGGCUGUAGAUCAGUACCAUCGCUACAUGGAAGAUAUUGAGCUCAUGUCUAAGUUGGGAUUUAAGGCUUAUCGUUUUUCAAUAUCGUGAAGUCGCAUCUUUCCUGGAAUUUUCUUAGUCCUGAUGAGAAACAGCAUCAAGAACAUGCCGAUGUUAGCGAAAAAUACGUGUAGUUUAAUAAUGUAGAGAACUACUGAAGUCCCUAACGAGCAGAGGAGUUGUUCUGGCCGUAAAUGAGUUCUUCGACAAGUUAGCAGUACAUCUGAAAAAGCAUAAUAUUCCUCAAAGAAGGUGUUGAUCUCAUUCCCUCAAAACUAACUAUGUUCUCUUCAAACUGAGAUUUCUCCAUUUUAAAUGAAGAUUAAAAAGAGAGCCGGGGGUCUAUCGGAAACAACCUCUCUACUACUUCGGAGGUGAUGGUAUGGACUGCGUAUAUUUUACCCUCCCCAGACCCCACUAGGUGGGAAUACACUGGAUAGGUUGUUGUUAUUGUUGAAUGAAGAUUGAAAAGUGUGUAAAACAAAUCUCGUGAAAAUUUGUCGGUAACUUCAGUUAUAUAUCUCGCAAGAUCCUUGUUCUCUCGAGUUGUAAUUUAUAAGGUUCUGAACUUGCAUUUUCUGAAUUUGUUAACCAUUUAUUGCGUAAUUAUGGAGCAAAAAUAUCUGUGCUAUGGGCUGAUAAAUUUUAGCUACACUUACUAUAGCAUGGGGCUUCAGUUG